AAUCAACGCUGGCGGCGUGCCUCAGACAUGCAAGUCGAACGAUUAAGACUUCCUUCGGGAAGUGUAUAAAGUGGCGCACGGGUGAGUAACACGUAAGUAAUCUACCUUCGAGUGGGGAAUAACAUCGGGAAACCGAUGCUAAUACCGCAUAAUGCAGCGGCAUCGCAAGAUGACAGUUGUUAAAGGAGCAAUUCGCUUGAAGAGGAGCUUGCGGCAGAUUAGCUAGUUGGUAAGGUAAUGGCUUACCAAGGCUACGAUCUGUAUCCGGUCUAAGAGGACGGUCGGACACACUGACACUGAAGAACGGGUCAGACUCCUACGGGAGGCAGCAGUCGGGAAUUUUGGGCAAUGGGCGAAAGCCUGACCCAGCAACGCCGCGUGAGGGAUGAAGUAUUUCGGUAUGUAAACCUCGAAAGAAUGGGAAGAAUAAAUGACGGUACCAUUUAUAAGCUCCGGCUAACUACGUGCCAGCCGCCGCCGUAACAC
rnacentral:rRNA from 1 species